rnacentral:rRNA from 1 species
UGGGGAAUCUUGCACAAUGGGGGCAACCCUGAUGCAGCGACGCCGCGUGAGCGAUGAAGCCCUUCGGGGCGUAAAGCUCUUUCGACCGGAACGAUAAUGACGGUACCGGGAGAAGAAGCUGCGGCUAACUACGUGCCAGCAGCCGCGGUAAUACGUAGGCAGCAAGCGUUGUUCGGAGUUACUGGGCGUAAAGAGUGCGUAAGCGGUUUUCUAAGUUCGGUGUGAAAUCUCCCGGCUUAACUGGGAGGGUGCGCCGAAGACUGGGAAGCUGGAGUGGGGGAAAGGCAGGCGGAAUUCCUGGUGUAGCGGUGAAAUGCGUAGAUAUCAGGAGGAACACCGGCGGUGUAGACGGCUUGCUAGACCAUAACUGACGCUGAGGCACGAAAGCGUGGGUAGCAAACA